rnacentral:rRNA from 1 species
AGAGUUUGAUCAUGGCUCAGAACGAACGCUGGCGGCAGGCUUAACACAUGCAAGUCGAACGCAUCCUUCGGGGUGAGUGGCAGACGGGUGAGUAACGCGUGGGAACGUGCCCUUCAGUUCGGAAUAACCCAGGGAAACUUGGGCUAAUACCGGAUACGUGCGAGAGCAGAAAGAUUUAUCGCUGAAGGAUCGGCCCGCGUCUGAUUAGCUAGUUGGUGAGGUAAUGGCUCACCAAGGCGACGAUCAGUAGCUGGUCUGAGAGGAUGAUCAGCCACAUUGGGACUGAGACACGGCCCAAACUCCUACGGGAGGCAGCAGUGGGGAAUAUUGGACAAUGGGCGCAAGCCUGAUCCAGCCAUGCCGCGUGAGUGAUGAAGGCCUUAGGGUUGUAAAGCUCUUUCGUCCGGGACGAUAAUGACGGUACCGGAAGAAGAAGCCCCGGCUAACUUCGUGCCAGCAGCCGCGGUAAUACGAAGGGGGCUAGCGUUGUUCGGAAUCACUGGGCGUAAAAGGGCGCGUAGGCGGCUUGAUAAGUCGGGGGUGAAAGCCUGUGGCUCAACCACAGAAUUGCCUUCGAUACUGUCUGGCUUGAGACCGGAAGAGGUAAGUGGAACUGCGAGUGUAGAGGUGAAAUUCGUAGAUAUUCGCAAGAACACCAGUGGCGAAGGCGGCUUACUGGUCCGGUUCUGACGCUGAGGCGCGAAAGCGUGGGGAGCAAACAGGAUUAGAUACCCUAGUAGUCC